AAGAGCUGCAUGUAUACUGGUGUCUACAAAGAGUCUUAAUCCAUGUUUUAAGAAUCGGACCUCACACUGCGGUUACCAACAAGAUUGAGUAUAUCUCACCUUUAUCAUUUGCACCAUUGGGAUAUACCUCAGGGGACUUAUUGGGGUGUCCAUAUCCCUCAUUUGGAUGGUGAAUCUACUUCAGAAAAAUAUGAUUUGUCUGAAGUGUAUCCCCUUUCAUGUGAUCUAGAUUUGAUUGUAGUGUGAUGUGAUGCUAAGCAAUGGUGCUUAGUAGAUGCUUUUAACAUGGAUGACGAUGAAGCAAUUACGGGCACAAAUGCUACGAAUGCCUAUAGAUUAUUUAGAAAAAAAGUACAUAAUUAAACACGAGGAUCGACAUGUUAUUAUUAUACAUGUUCCGUUGUAUGCUGAAGACAAAAAAUGUCAGUGAGAUAUAUUUGUAUGCUCAAAAUGUGUAUUAGGUUGAGGAAUUCUAAAUGAAGGGGUAGACUUGAACAAAGAAAAGUACUGCAGCAUUUCACUUCGUAUCAUCCACUUUUCACUCCUCAGUCUUCUCGACAGAAUUAUAGAAUGAUCCAUGUCCAGUUGUAAAUGUUUUUACUCUGCAUAUUUUCCCUAUGAGAUUUCUUGAAUAAGGUCUGGCUUUAUGAAUGUGUAAUGGCACAAGGGUGGAGGCCACAUCACUUUCUUGAUUGGCUUAUUCUGUGUUUUGUGCAGUAAGGUUUGUACGUGACUGAUAUAAUAGACACUAUUUACCCUUGUAUUAAAUUUGCC
rnacentral:lncRNA from 1 species